AUGUUCAGCUGGCUGGGUAACGAUGAUCGCCGAUGAUCGCCGAUGAUCACCGCAAGAAGGACCCUGAGGUCUUCCAGACUGUGAGCGAGGAGCUCAAGAAACUCUACAAGACCAAGCUGCUGCCUCUGGAAGAGUAUUACCGCUUCCACGAGUUCUACUCGCCGGCCCUGGAGGAUGCCGAUUUCGACAACAAGCCCAUGGUCCUGUUGGUGGGCCAAUACUCUACCGGAAAGACCACCUUCAUCAGGUACCUGCUGGAACAGGAUUUUCCAGGCAUGCGGAUUGGACCUGAGUCAACCACUGUUUCCUUCAUAGCAGUGAUACAGGGAGAUGUGGAGGGGAUCAUCCCUGGGAACGCCCUGGUGGUGGAUCCGAAGAAACCCUUCAGAAAGCUCAACGCCUUCGGCAAUGCCUUCCUGAAUAGGUUUGUGUGUGCCCAGCUGCCCAAUGCUGUUCUAGAAAGUGUCAAGUGUCAUCGACAUACCGGGGAUCCUCUCUGGUGAGAAGCAGGGGAUCAGCUGAGGGUAUGCUGCUGUCCUCGAAUGGUUUGCUGAGCGGGUGGACUGAAUCAUCCUGCUCUUUGACGCCCACAAGCUGGACAUCUCUGAUGAGUUCUCAGAAGUCAUCAAGGCUCUCGAGAACCAUGAGGACAAGAUGCGAGUGGUAUUGAACAAGGCUGGCCAGAUUGAGACCCAGCAGCUGAUGCGGGUGUAUGGGGCCCUCAUGUGCUCCCUGGGGAAGAUGGUGAACACGGUGAUCCGGGUCUACACUGGCUCCUUCUGGUCCCACCUUCUCCUCAUUCCUGACAACCGGAAGCUCUUUGAAGUUGAAGAGUAAGACGUGUUCAGACACAUUCAGAGUCUACCCUGUAAUGCUGCUCUUCGAAAGCUCAAUGAUCUCAUCAAGAGAGCCCGCUGGACAAGGUCCAUGUCUAUAUCAUCAGCUCCCUGAAGAGGGAGAUGCCCUCAGUGUUUGGGAAGGACACCAAAAAGAGAUGGUGAACAACCUGGCUGAGAUCUAUGGCAGGAUUGAGCGAGAAUACCAGAUCUCCCCUGGUGACUUCCCAAACCUGAAGAGGAUGCAGGACCAGCUGCAGGCCCAGGACUUCAGCAAAUUCCAACCACUGAAGAGCAAGCUGCUAGAAGUGGUCGAUGACAUGCUGGCCCAUGAUGUUGUCCAGCUCAUGGUGCUGGUGCACCAGGAAGAGACCCAGCAGCCUGUCCAGAUGGUGAAGGGCAGAGCAUUUGAGGGAACCCUUCAAGGGCCCUUCGGGCAUGGCUAUGGAGAGGGAGCUGGGGAGGGCAUUGAUGAUGCUGAGUGGGUGGUGGCCCGGGACAAGCCUAUGUAUGAUGAAAUCUUCUACACCUUAUCCCCAGUGGAUGGCAGGAUCACGGGUGCCAAUGCCAAAAAGAAGAUGGUGUGCUCCAAGUUGCCUAACAGCGUCCUGGGGGAAGAUCUGGAAGCUAGCUGACAUUGACAAGGAUGGCAUGUUGGAUGACGAGGAGUUUGCCCUGGCCAACCACCUUGUCAAAGUCAAGCUAGAGGGGCAUGAGCUGCCCAAUGAGCUGCCUGCCCACCUCCUCCCUCCAUCUAAGAGGAAAGUAGCGGAGUGAGAGAGCCAGGCAAGUUCAGACAGACAGUGUCAAUAGAGAGGAUAGACGUGAUGACCACACACACACACACACACACACACACACACACACAUACACACACAACUGGACAGUCACACUAUAAAUGAGAAGGGUUCGUCUUUGUUUGAGCACCUCUCCAAGUCCCCAGGGUUGGUAGAAGGGCGCUUUACCUCCUCUGUCUUAGGAUCUAGGCCUGUGUCCAAACUUUCCCUUCAUCUCCCUCCCAUUCCCCCAAAGACAUGAGGCAAUUAACACAGAUGGCCCACCUACCCUAUCCCCAGUGCCUUCACAUCUAGGCCCUGAGCAGAUGGGAAAGGCUUUCUGUGGAAUAGACAAUUCGCUUUAUUUUCUAUGCUUUUAUUUUUUCCUCUGUGGCUUCCUAAGUAAAGAUUUACUCAGGGGCUGGGAGCUGGGAGGGAAAGGAGAAGCUAAGUGAGGAUGGUCAAACUGAGAAACCUCCGUAGGGCACUGCACCCACACUUGAAAAGACACUGGCCUAUGUUCUCUGUGGUUCUCUAAACCUAAGACUCUCUGUCUUCCUCAGUAAACUUGCACCUU